AUUCGACCUCAAAUCAGGUAGGACUACCCGCUGAACUUAAGCAUAUCAAUAAGCGGGAGGAA
rnacentral:rRNA from 1 species